AGGUAAGUGACUGAGUGGUUUAAAGUGGCAAUUUUGAAAAUUGUUAUAAAGUAAAAUUAUCAUAGGUUCGAAUCCUAUCUUACCUA
rnacentral:tRNA from 1 species